rnacentral:rRNA from 1 species
UACAGGGGGGGCAAGCGUUGUUCGGAAUUACUGGGCGUAAAGGGCUCGUAGGCGGCCAACUAAGUCACACGUGAAAUCCCCAGGCUCAACCUGGGAACUGCGUGUGAUACUGGAUGGCUUGAAUUCGGGAGAGGGAUGCAGAAUUCCAGGUGUAGCGGUGAAAUGCGUAGAUAUCAGGAGGAACACCGGUGGCGAAGGCGGGUCUCUGGGCCGAUACUGACGCUGAGGAGCGAAAGCGUGGGGAGCGAACAGG